UUCGGGAACUCUGACACAGGUGCUGCAUGGCUGUCGUCAGCUCGUGUCGUGAGAUGGUUGGGUUAACGUCCCGUAACGAGCGCAACCCUUGUCCUUAGUUACCAGCACGUUAUGGUGGGCACUCUAAGGAGACUGCCGGUGACAAACCGGAGGAAGGUGGGGAUGACGUCAAGUCAUCAUGGCCCUUACGGCCUGGGCUACACACGUGCUACAAUGGUCGGUACAAAGGGUUGCCAAGCCGCGAGGUGGAGCUAAUCCCAUAAAACCGAUCGUAGUCCGGAUCGCAGUCUGCAACUCGACUGCGUGAAGUCGGAAUCGCUAGUAAUCGUGGAUCAGAAUGUCACGGUGAAUACGUUCCCGGGUCUU
rnacentral:rRNA from 1 species